AGUCAAUAGAUACCCCCGGUAGUCCACGCCGUAAACGAUGAAUACUAGGUGUAGGAGGUAUCGACUCCUUCUGUGCCGCAGUUAAACACAAUAAGUAUUCCGCCUGGGGAGUACGGUCGCAAGAUUAAAACUCAAAGGAAUUGACGGGGGCCCGCACAAGCAGCGGAGCAUGUGGUUUAAUUCGAAGCAACGCGAAGAACCUUACCUAGACUUGACAUCUUCUGCAUUAAUCGUAAUGGAUGAAAUCCCUUCGGGGACAGAAUGACAGGUGGUGCAUGGUUGUCGUCAGCUCGUGUCGUGAGAUGUUGGGUUAAAGUCCCGCAACGAGCGCAACCCCUAUUAUUAGUUGCUAACAUUAAGUUGAGCACUCUAGUGAGACUGCCCGGGUUAACCGGAGGAAGUGGGGAUGACGUCAAAUCAUCAUGCCCCUUAUGUCUAGGGCUACACACGUGCUACAAUGGU
rnacentral:rRNA from 1 species